AAGGAAGUUCCGGGAAAGAACGGAAAUCAAUCUCCGGCGCAGUGUUGUGACGCAGGAAAAAAGAGAGAAAAAAAACCACACCUUUAUCUCACAGCUGUGGAUUGUAGACCCAGCUACAGUAAUGAGGGUAAUUGCAGGGUGCAAAGAGCUUAAUUGACAGCCCUCAAGACUAAGAAUUCUCCCAGGGCUGACAGGAAAAGUUCCAAACUAUUGAAGACACACUUCCCCAACUGACAAUCUGGAGCUGGGAAGUGAAGCCUGAAGGGGGCAGAUCUGAUCUCUCCUGGACUCCCUUAGACAUCUUAGAAGCAGCCUCUUUGAAUACCAUCAAGCAUGAGUGAGGAGGAGUUUCCCCAAAACCCUUUGGUGGACAGAGAGGAAAAUUGGAGGAAAUCAGUCUCUCUUUUGGACAUCUGAGGACUCAGUUGCAUUCCUGUACCUGACCCAUCAAAGGAUUCUCUGAGGGUGAGAAAUCCGGUUACCUGUUGGACAUGCCUUUAGGAAUUUAUGUAAUUAGUUAAGGUAGUUAAAUAGUGGGUUAAAUUAGAGGAUAAGGCAGUCAGAUUUCCCUUCUCCGAUUUUCCUUCCUCCCUUCAUCCCUUCUCUGUUAAUCGAUUCAAUAUUAUUUAUAUGUGCUGUUUUCCCUUUGUAGUACCUUCCUUCCCCCUUUCCAAAAUACAGAUUUAACACAUACCUUA